AAUCUCAGAAAUAUAUCUUUUCCCUGGCUAGCAUCUAGUGUUACUCAUAGUUUUUCAUUACUUCUCUGAGAAGAUUAUUUCAUAGCCAUUUGGCUGUUCCAGACUGCUGGCCAGAGUGGAAGAAAGGACAAUAUAUAUUUUGCACAGCUGGAGCAAAAUGCUUAUGCGGAUGCUGGAAUGGUCAAGAGAGACAGGCAGUGAUGCAAAUGAUGUAAGCCAUGAUGCAGAACCACAGGUGAUCUCAGAAACUCUCCACUUCCUUGAAGUAUCAGAGCAGGUGUAACAAAUUUCUGUGUGCUAUGCUCCUGUAUCACUGAGUCUACAAUGACAUUAUGGAUAAGCACAUUAUGGGCCAAGAAAGAGGCUAGAUCUCAGUGUGAUCAAAAGGAUCUGACAACUCUUACCACAUUCUCCGGACCUGUUCCAGGAAUAGAAAAUAGGAAUUAUUAGCAAUUAAUUUUAUAGCCCUAUCUCUCCCCUGAAGUCAGAAAGCUUGCAUAGUAGUGUGAGAAAAUGGAAAUGUUUGUUAAUAUUUGCUGAUUAGCAGAAAUGUUACAGUUCUCUUUGUACUUCUCUAUAGUUUUGAAGAAAAUGACUGUUGCUUUCCUCUCUUUAAGCUUUGUGUACCUGUACAAUUACCAAAUGGAAAGCUUGCAUGUUUGAAAUAUGUGAUUUUGAAUUAACCACACUAUUUAUAUUUGCAGUUAUAAAAAUAACCAAUUUUAUUAACCAUUUACUGCAUUUUUUUCCCCAAAAGAAGCUGUGAAUUUGAUGUUAUAACAUAAGUUUCCUCAGCCAGCAACUUUGAAAAUUGGCUCUUCAUUUGUUAGCAUUCCAGAAAGCUGGAAUAUUUCCUACAGCUUUAGAUAUGUUGGGAAUUUCUGGGGACUGGGCUUUCAAAGCAAUGUUUCCAUCACUCAGAACCUUUUCACUUAUAUUUAUCUUUGAACAAUUGUAUGAACAAGGUAUACUAAAUUCAGUGAAAUUAUUUGUUCACUUUUUUCUUUAAUGUUUAUAAGUUACAUUUAUUCCCCUGCAGAAGCAAGUUCAUGACAUUUCCCAGUAUUAGUGAUGUAUAGCUUCUUUGAAGCUGCAAUGUUUGCAUUUGAGUUUGUAUCCUCUUUUCAGGGAGGGGGGGAAAAAAAAAAAAAAAGAGUGCUGCAUCUGUUUCCAUUUUGAUCAAGCACAUGUUCUCAGCAUAGCUGACCUGGGGCUUUUGCUGUAACUCCAGAUCAUGGCUUCUUGCUUCUGGUUGCAUACUAUUAUAUACUAACUGCUCUGGUAAAACUUUUCAAGGCAAAGCAUUAUUAGGAGCUGUUAUUAUGUAUUCCCACAGGCUUGAUUUAUUUAGCUGAAGCUUGCUUCUAAUUCUGUUUUUAGAACAAGAAGUGUUUCUAUUUGGGCCACCCUAAGCCUGCUGUAGCUUAAUCCAGUAACGUAAUUUGCAAGAAAAGUUAUGUGUUAGAAUUCUGUACUGGUUUGGUAAAUCAGUGAAAGAAGCUUGCUGUCCUUUGUUAGGAACAGUUUGAUCUACUCAAUCAGCCAUGUAAAGUGAGAAAUCAGUCUUGAGCUCUAUCUCAUGUCAGUUGCCAAAUGUCAUUGAUUUAAAGCUCACUGAGUAUCAAACAUUCAUUACAAAUUCAUCAAUAUAAUAUGUUCACAUAUUGCUGAAGAUGCAAUAUCAAAUAAAAAUAAUGUUGAAAGACCUUGGAAGAAGUUAUUAGGAUACGCAAGUAUGAAGCACAUUUGUCUGACUAUGAGGUAAAGGCAAGAGCAUGAGUGUGGUGUAAAGGGGCUGAAUAUCUGGAGCUAUAUUGAGUUUGCUCUUUUAACACUCUGUUGGAUGUACUCUAGUAAUCAGUGUUGUCUCAUGUGUGAAAACAACAUUGUAAUGCAGAUUGCAGCUGUCAGAUGACUCUCUCAAUUAUAAAAUAGUCUUCAGAGACUGAGAAAUUGAACCAUGCAGUAAACGACAACUUAGCACAGAUUAUUAAUCAAAUUUAUGAUCUUAUUCUGCGUUUUCUAGAACUGAGGAGUUAUUUGUGAAUUCACUGCACUCGUUGCUCUUAAUUAGAAUCACAUGUGAAAAAAAGCUAGCUUCUGGGCACCAGCUGAUACUACUUGCCCUUUAGAGAAUCAUGUAAGACACAUGAUCAGUGCAUGUGUUCUUAUGACUGAAUGCAAUUAAUCUUAUUAAUGAUAUGCAUACCAUUCAAGCAGACAGAAAAUUUGAGCUGAAGCAAGAAUUCUGUCUAUUAUUGGAGAAAAAUAGUUAUCAGAAUGUGCUUAAGUUUACUAAGUUUUUUAUAACCUAAAGGGAAUUCCCAACAACAUAUAGCAUCUGACAGCUUAGUAAUUUCUUCUUAGCCUCUUUUUACGUAGAAAAAUGUAUUUUGCUGUAGAUGAAAGGAUUUAAUCAUGUGGCAAGAUUAGUAUACAAAUGUUGUCUGUGUUUUUAUUCACUUUUACUAAAUAUUGAAUAGCUACUGAAAAUUAUUUAUCCUUUCAUCUAGUUCAGUUAGCCUAAUCAAAUUUUUCAGUUUUCCUACAGUGGGGAAUGUAUUAUGAGGUAGAAUACCCAUGAAAAAUAAUAAAAAAUAAUCACUAAGCCAUG
ensembl:lncRNA